GUGUGCCUGUGCACAAGUGUGUGUGCGAGUGUGCGUCUGUGGGUAGAGACUGGAGCGGGCAGCUAUCUGCACCCCCAUCCCCAGGGCCCCCCAUACCCCAGAGGAGGGGCCUCUUUCCCAUCUCAGGGGGCCCGAAGGGCGCAGUCCCGCCCCCGUGGCAGCAGGUGGAGGACCUGGGGGAGGACCUGGGGCCUGGGAUUCGGUGCUGAGCCGCCUGGGGCUGCCUGGCUGUGGACGCCGCUCAGGGCUCCCAGCUCAGGAGGCAGGCCUGGCCUGUGUGAUCAUUUGCAGUGGCUCCAUCUCCCUGAAAGGAGGGGCCCGGGUCUGGGGACCCGUGUGGCAGGCGGCCUGGCCCUGGGGAACGCAGUGCAGGUCACUUGUCUUGAUGUGCUCGGCUGGUACCUUUCCGGAGGGGCUCGGGGUGGAGGUGAUAGAGGCUCCUGGCAUGUUAGAUGCUCUGGCCCUUGGCCUGGCUGGGGGUUCUGGCCAGAGGAUCAGGGACCUUGGGGAGGGGUUUUGACAGAACCUGAGGCCCCCAAGGGGAUCUGCCUGCCCAGUCCACUGGUCCCUGAGAGCUCCUGGUCUGUUCCCCACAGAAGGGGGUGGCUCUGCCUUGUGCCCCAGCAGGCGGCAGCCAUCUGGGCCCUGGAGAGCGGAGCAGGCCCUGGAUGUGGGCUUCCAGACUGGAGGCUCUGCUGCAGGUGUGGCUGUGCCGGGGCACUUGUGGGUGGCCUGGAGCGUCUGGGCAGCCCUUCGGUCAGACCAGCAGAGACCUGUAUCCACGUACAGGGCCACCUGCAGAGCAGAAUGGUCGCUGACACACAGGCUGUCGUGGGCCAGCUGCACUGGCACCCCCAGACUUCCCAUCCUGGGGGCUCCUGGGAAGGGCACUGCUGGCCUCGGGGAGGGUGCCCUGGGACAGGAGCCGGUGGCCUAGAAGUGGGCUGGGAGGGCCCCCUGGGGCUGGACAGGAGAGGCCGGCCGUGCCCCAGGGCCCCUGAGGAGGGUCUGCCCUGCUUCCUCAAUGCCUGCUUCUCCCCACUGCUGUUUGAUAAUGGACAUCCUAUUUUAAUUCUACUCCAGCUUAACUGA
rnacentral:lncRNA from 1 species